ensembl:lncRNA
CUACUCCAAGUGUGCUGGGGUGGGUAAACCCCCCCAAACCAGGUAAUCUCCAGAUUAGACCUGGAAAGGCAGUUUUCAGCCCCAGCUCCAGCCAGUAUUCUGCCAGCUUUUCAAAAGCCACCCUUCCAAGCAGGAGUUAGUAAGGGCUAUAAACACAAAGAGCCCACUCUGUUUUAUUUACAACACGCAGGCUGUCUGUACAAACAGGUGGCCAGUGUUACCGAACAGAAGAGGUGAGUGAAAAUCGUCACCUUUCUGCCUUCCUCACUUGGCCAGGCUCUGGUCCUCCACUUUUGAGCUGCCAUGCUCAAAAGGGUAAGUCCGAAAUUAAAAAUACAACCAGUAUGUAAGAAAAUAAAUGGGGAGUGAAAUAGGUCAGGGAAAGGAGUGCUAUAUUUACACUAGUUUUAUACACAACCGUCCGAUCCCAAUUCGAACCCUGGUCCACAAAGUGAGGGGUGGCAGGUCCAAGGGAGAGAGAUUAUGUGUCUACUGAACCAGACAGCCUCCCACCCCCAACCGCAAUAGGUCCAAUUUCAAGUCCACCUGGUGAGGAAGGAAAGGUUAGGAACGCAGACACUCAUUUCCAAACAAGUCUCCCUUGGGAAUUCCUGCCUUGAAGUGGGGACAAUAUCCACACUCCAGGGGAUAGGCUGAGGACACUGAGGCUCUGUUCCCAAGUCAUGUUGUCAUUCGGGAGUUCCAGCCUAUAGAUGAUGAUGAUAUCAGGGCUCUCCAGAUUUGGGAAGCCCCCUAACCUCCGGGACUCUGGCCGCAGUUCCUUGCAUUUCUGGCAAUAAAAGAAGUCAGGGACAUUGGUCUUCUUAAUCUUAGCACAGGAGAGGUGGAUCCACGUCCCACACAGGCUGCACUCAAUCAUGGGGCGCCCUGCAAAGGGCUUUCGGCAGUAACACGUGAUCAGAUCCCAUGAGUCAUCACCUGGGGAAAGAAGGUUGGUUUGGUGUUCUGCCUGAGCUCUGGGAUCUUCAACAUACCCCACAAACCCAUACUCCGAUGCCCGAAACCUCUCACCUGAUUCUACCAUGAUGUCUUCAUCCAUGACCCGCAUCUCCCCUUCACUGGAGCUGGCAUCUCCGUCUUGGCUCGUUUCAGUGCUACCCACCUCUUUGCCUUCACUGUCUGUGGGAGGGCUCCUUCAGGGUGUACUACAGCAGGGGGCCUAGGGGGCUUCAGGGGGCGUUGGGAGCACAGGGGCUGGGGCUUCACCACCAACUACUGCUGCCAUCUCCUCCUCCUCUUCUUCCUCUUCCUCCUCCUCCUCCUCCUCUUCAGAGUCUGUAUCACUGGGGGUGCCCGAGGAGGCCCAGGAGGUGGGAGUCUAUCCCCCCGGUCUGCUUUUUUUCAACUUCCGUUUCUUGCUCUUCUUGAUACGAGACCUCUUUUCCCCAUCCCCAGGAGCUGGCGAGGGCCUUCGAAGAACCCCAAAGCCAGCCCCACCUACUGGUCCCAACUUUCGGUUCUUUCGGUCCUUCUUUCGAGGAGGCUGGGAGAGGUCCCCUUGGGAAAGGGGCACAGGGGUGAGAGCAGCAGGGGGCCGAGAGGUAUGUGUUAGGGAUGUGGGGGAUAGUGGAGUUGCCACUUUGGGCCCAUCCAGAUCAAAGAGAGAGUCCUUGAGCUUCAUCUUCUCAAGCAGGGUGGCACUGUCAGGGGCCUGCAGACGAGAGAAAGUGGACCUUGGGGGUCCUGGAUGGGUGGGACCUGCUUGAGCUGCCCUUCUUUUGGAUGACUUUGCUUUCUUAACAAAGGUCUGGAUGGUACGAAGAUCUGAAGGGGGCUGAGUCCCAGCCAUCACUGUCUGCUGCACUCUCACCUCUCAAUGGAGAGCUAGAGCCAGAGGCUGGCCAGUCACUUUCCUUAAAAGAGGGAGACCACAGUGAGCAGGAACCUAGUAUCACCUUAGCCCUCCACAAACCUGCCCUGAACAACAGGGAUUAGAAUAAGCCCAAAUAUUUCACCCUAACAACGAAAUCUCAUUGUACUCAAGAUUUUUCACUCCAAUUGCUACCAGUUCUCCUCAUGGCAACCUUAUUGCUGCCGGAAAGUUCUAGGCAUCCCAAUUCUCCCUGCCCUGGCUUUAGAACACUACCCCCUCCCCAGUCCAAUGCUGUUAUUUUUUUCUCCGAAACUGGGAAUCAAACUCAGGACCUUGUGCUUACCAGGCAGGCACAGCUCCGCUGAGCUACAUCCCCGGCCCGGAAGCUCUAUUUCUUUAGCCUUGUUCCUUUACAGCCUCAAUUGUUACCAUUUCCAGUUCCCUAAGGUAUACCUAUAAACACUUUUUUAUUAAAGGAACAAAAAAGAUUCCAAAUUCUUGGCCAAUGCUUCAAAAUCUCCUCUAUCACUUCUACUCAAGUCAGCAUCUACUGCCCUGCC